rnacentral:lncRNA from 10 species
CACAAUUCCCAAAUCCUUGCACUAGGUGGGGCCAGCCUCCUGUUGUGUAGACUCAUCAACUAUACCAGUCCUCUGUUCCUGGUCUCUGGAGCUUCAAUUUGGGAAAGUGACCCAUUAGCUUCUGAGGACCAGGGUGAGAGAGGGCAAACUUGAAUGCCCUUCACAAUGGAGAGAUGUGUGCAGACCGGACAGACAUCAGUUCCUUUAUCAGUGCACAGGUAGCUGCAAUGCCUGCAUGUGGAGAGAUAAAACCCAGACAAAGAGGCAGACAUGAGCAGAUGAGCUCCCCCGAACAGGAGACAAGUGGGCUGAGAGGUGAAGGAAGAGGAUGAGGGCAGCCACGAACGCUCAAUGAGACAUGACAAGUCAAGUGUGGAGCCCAGGCCCUUCACCCAGAGGAGCUCAAAAAAUAUUAGCAGCCGUUACCAUUGGAGCCUCUGCCUCCUAAACCUGCCUCAAUAUCUAUGGAGGGUGGGAGCAGAGUCACUUUUCCUCACUGGACCUCAGUUUACUCCUCAGAAAGACAGCAGUGAUGAUGCCCUCUCAAGAUAUCCUCUAACUCCAGAAUCCCUGUCUCUAUUGAUCGUGUAGGAUGAGGCAGUCCAAGUUAAAACAAACACUUUGUUCUUAGUAUCUCAUUUCAUUUUCAUAAAAGCCUUAGAGGACACACGCUUUUCUUAUCCUCAUCUUACAUAAAGGUAAACCAAGGCACAGAGGGCUCAAAAGGUGAGGAGGGAUUCAAACCUGGCUGUCUAGACCCAUUGCCCACAUGGCUAACCACCCCAUAACCUGCAAGGAAAAAUGAUCGUUGUCAUUCCUUCUGCAAAAGAAGGAUGGCUGCUUGUUUCACAAAGGUUAAAGUUAUUUAGCAAGGGGAGCUCAAAGGGCUUUGACUGCAUUGCAGCCUGGGAGUCAGAGCAGGAAUGGAAAACAACCAUGAGCCGGCAUUGUGUCCGGACCCUUCCAGGGGUUCCUUGAAAGGGGCUAUUUUCCUUUUAUUCCUAUGCAGGGGUUGGCAAACUUUUUCUGUAAAAGGCCAGAGAAUAAAUAGUUUAGGCUCUGCAGGC